GUAUGUGUAUAUUUGUAACUGAUCAAAAGAAUUUUUGUACACAAUAAGAAUUAAAGAUAGAUUAUCGGUUAAAUAGAUGGUUUGAAAAACCUUAUUCUACGCCACCCUUUUGGAUUAGCAUAACAGAGACAUCCAUCCUCAGUCAUUCGCAAUGGCCCGACGACUCCUUCCACUCACCUCCCUCCGCCACCUCUCCGUCGCCGCCUCGCGUCGCCUCCUCUCCUCUGCACUCCCCGUCGCUCCCCGCCCCUAUCCGCCCCUCACCGCCCGCUUCGCCGUCGUCCGGUGCCUCUGCAACCGCCCCGGAGACUCGGCGUACUCGCCCCUGAACACGGGAAAGCCCACCUCCAUCUUGUCGUCGAUCACGGAGCGCCCUCCGACGGACAUGGCGCCCCUGUUCCCGGGCUGCGACUACCAUCACUGGCUCGUCGUCAUCCACAAGCCCGGCGGCGAAGGCGCUACCAAGCAACAGAUGAUAGAUUGCUACGUUCAAACCCUCGCCAAGGUUCUUGGCAGUGAAGAGGAAGCUAAGAAAAAGAUUUACAAUGUUUCCUGUGAGAGGUACUUCGCAUUUGGAUGUGACAUUGAUGAGGAGACAUCGAAUAAGCUGGAAGGUUUGCCUGGAGUUUUGUUUGUUCUCCCAGAUUCAUAUGUAGAUCCUGAACACAAAGACUAUGGAGGUGAAUUAUUUGUGAAUGGAGAGAUUGUGCAGAGACCACCUGAAAGACAGAGAAGAGUGGAGCCGCAGCCACAAAGGCAACAGGACAGACCAAGAUACAAUGAUAGAACAAGGUAUGUUCGACGCAGAGAAAACACAAAAUGAAGGAGCAAGCGGAUAAUAAGAGGAGGGAGGAGAGGGAUGUUGAAGAUAUGGAAGAGUGGAUUCUGCACUAUUAUUGUAGUGUAGCCUUUGGAUGCCUACUAUUUCUGGUGGUACUUGAAUAUGCUAGUAGUUAAACUAGUAGUAUAUGAAUAUGUUAGUAGUUAAACCAGUGUUGAUGUUGGCUUUAUUCUUUAUCAUCUUUUCCAUGGGAGAGUGUUGAACAUAUAGCAUAUAAUAUAUCUCUAUGCAGUGUUACUGUUUUGUACACUGCUUCUUACGCUUU